GAACCAACAGUUGUGACCACUGAGGUGUACCAGCCUUGUACUCACUACUCACCCAGGGCAUGCAAACAUCAGGUCGGCUUAAAUCUCUUCACUGCCCUGAUUCUCCUGGAAGGGCUCACUGAGUGCUUCUUCAAAUAAUUGAUACAAACUGCUGGAGAAGCACAGGCUGUUGAACCACUGAACCUCACUGUCUUUGCACCAGGGCUGUGAUGACAAAUAACGUUGCUCCAAAUGGAAUACUCAGAACCACACAUAAAAAUCACACCUUCAGCAGGUCGAAGAAUUCAGGAAUAUCCGCACUGCAGUCUGAAGAAAUUAAUUGACAUGUUUAUCUGUAAUGAGUAGCUGAAUUAGUCUUCCUUCCAAUAACUGUCUUCCGUGAUUCUCUUCAAGUCAUGAACCUGUGCUGCACAAAGGAAAUUAAUCUUUCAAGCAUUUUCCUCAAUAGUUUAGAGUUCUCAUAAAUUGUUUCAUAUA